rnacentral:rRNA from 1 species
AUUGAACGCUGGCGGCAGGCCUAACACAUGCAAGUCGAACGAGUGGCGGACGGGUGAGUAAUGUCUGGGAAACUGCCUGAUGGAGGGGGAUAACUACUGGAAACGGUAGCUAAUACCGCAUACCAUCGGAUGUGCCCAGAUGGGAUUAGCUAGUAGGUGGGGUAAAGGCUCACCUAGGCGACGAUCCCUAUCUGGUCUGAGAGGAUGACCAGACACACUGGAACUGAGACAAGGUCCAGACUCCGACGGGAGGCAGCAGUGGGGAAUAUUGCACGAAGGGCGAAAGCCGGAUGCAGCCAUGCCGCGGGUAUGAAGAAGGCCUUCGGGGUGUAAAGUACUUUCAGCGGGGGGGCGUUACCCGCAGAAGAAGCACCGGCUAACUCCGUGCCAGCAGCCGCGGUAAUAC